UAUAAAAUAACUUGAAAAGUGUGUCAGGGCUUUGGUGUCAAAAAAAUAAAUUUCAUAUUUUUGGUAAGGUUGCAUUAUACUUGCCAGCGAUCUCCAGGAGUUCGCGUCAAAUACAUUAUAUAUUAAUAAACAUUAACUUCAGAUACCAGUCAACAAUCGCAGGCAGUUUGUGUCAAAUUAAAACAUUUUCUUUUUAUAUAAAAUAACUUGAAAAGUGUGUCAGAACUUUGGUGUCAAAAAAAUAAAUUUCAUAUUUUUGGUAAGGUUGCAUUAUACUUGCCAGCGAUCUCCAGGACUCCGCGUCAAAUACAUUAUAUAUUAAUAAACAUUAACUUCAGAUACCAGUCAACAAUCGCAGGCAGUUUGUGUCAAAUUAAAACAUUUUCUUUUUAUAUAAAAUAACUUGAAAAGUGUGUCAGAACUUUGGUGUCAAAAAAAUAAAUUUCAUAUUUUUGGUAAGGUUGCAUUAUACUUGCCAGCGAUCUCCAGGAGUUCGCGUCAAAUACAUUAUAUAUUAAUAAACAUUAACUUCAGAUACCAGUGAACGAUCGCAGGCAGUUAGUGUUAAAUUAAAUCAUUUUCCUUUUAUAUAAAAUAACUUGAAUAUGUGUCAGGGCUUUGGUGUCAAAAACAUAAAUUUUAUAUUUUUGGUAAGGUUGUAUUAUACUUGCCAUCGAUCUCCAGGAGUUCGCGUCAAAUACAUUAUAUAUUAAUAAACAUUAACUUCAGAUACCAGUCAACAAUCGCAGGCAGUUUGUGUCAAAUUAAAACAUUUUCUUUUUAUAUAAAAUAACUUGAAAAGUGUGUCAGGGCUUUGGUGUCAAAAAAAUAAAUUUCAUAUUUUUGGUGAGUUUGCAUUAUACUUGCCAGCGAUCUCCAGGAGUUCGCGUCAAAUACAUUAUAUAUUAAUAAAAAUUAACUUCAGAUACCAGUGAACGAUCGCAGGCAGUUAGUGUUAAAUUAAAUCAUUUUCCUUUUAUAUAAAAUAACUUGAAAAGUGUGUCAGAACUUUGGUGUUUAAAAUAAAUUUCAUAUUUUUGGUAAGGUUGCAUUAUACUUGCCAGCGAACUCCAGGACUCCGCGUCAAAUACAUUAUAUAUUAAUAAACAUUAACUUCAGAUACCAGUCAACAAUCGCAGGCAGUUUGUGUCAAAUUAAAACAUUUUCUUUUUAUAUAAAAUAACUUGAAUAUGUGUCAGGGCUUUGGUGUCAAAAACAUAAAUUUUAUAUUUUUGGUAAGGUUGCAUUAUACUUGCCAGCGAUCUCCAGGAGUUCGCGUCAAAUACAUUAUAUAUUAAUAAACAUUAACUUCAGAUACCAGUCAACAAUCGCAGGCAGUUUGUGUCAAAUAAAAACAUUUUCUUUUUAUAUAACAUGACUUGAAAAGUGUGUCAGGGGUUUUUUGUCAAAAAAAUAAAUUUCAUAUUUUUGGUAAGGUUGCAUUAUACUUGCCAGCGAACUCCAGGACUCCGCGUCAAAUACAUUAUAUAUUAAUAAACAUUAACUUCAGAUACCAGUCAACAAUCGCAGGCAGUUUGUGUCAAAUUAAAACAUUUUCUUUUUAUAUAAAAUAACUUGAAAAGUGUGUCAGGGCUUUGGUGUCAAAAAAAUAAAUUUCAUAUUUUUGGUAAGGUUGCAUUAUACUUGCCAGCGAACUCCAGGACUCCGCGUCAAAUACAUUAUAUAUUAAUAAACAUUAACUUCAGAUACCAGUCAACAAUCGCAGGCAGUUUGUGUCAAAUUAAAACAUUUUCUUUUUAUAUAAAAUAACUUGAAAAGUGUGUCAGAACUUUGGUGUCAAAAACAUAAAUUUCAUAUUUUUGGUAAGGUUGCAUUAUACUUGCCAGCGAUCUCUAGGAGUUCGCGUCAAAUACAUUAUAUAUUAAUAAACAUUAACUUCAGAUACCAGUCAACAAUCGCAGGCACUUUUUGUCAAAUUAAAACAUUUUCUUUUUAUAUAAAAUAACUUGAAAAGUGUGUCAGGGCUUUGGUGUCAAAAAAAUAAAUUUCAUAUUUUUGGUAAGGUUGCAUUAUACUUGCCAGCGAUCUCCAGGAGUUCGCGUCAAAUACAUUAUAUAUUAAUAAACAUUAACUUCAGAUACCAGUCAACAAUCGCAGGCAGUUUGUGUCAAAUUAAAACAUUUUCUUUUUAUA